ensembl:misc_RNA Metazoa_SRP Metazoan signal recognition particle RNA
GCUGGGCAUGGUGGCGCAUGCCUGUAAUCCCAGCUACUUGGGAGGCUGAGGCAGGAGAAUUGCUUGAACCCAGGAGGCAGGGGUUGCAGUGAGCUGAGAUUGUGCCACUGCACUCCAGCCUGGGCAACAAGAGCGAAACUCCGUCUCAA